rnacentral:rRNA from 1 species
GACGAACGCUGGCGGCGUGCUUAACACAUGCGAGUCGAACGGAAAGGCCCUGCUUUUGUGGGGUGCUCGAGUGGCGAACGGGUGAGUAACACGUGAGUAACCUGCCCUUGACUUUGGGAUAACUUCAGGAAACUGGGGCUAAUACCGGAUAGGAGCUCCUGCUGCAUGGUGGGGGUUGGAAAGUUUCGGCGGUUGGGGAUGGACUCGCGGCUUAUCAGCGUGUUGGUGGGGUAGUGGCUUACCAAGGCGUUGACGGAUAGCCGGCCUGAGAGGGUGACCGGCCACGUGGGGACUGAGAUACGGCCCAGACUCCUACGGGAGGCAGCGGUGGGGAAUAUUGCACAAUGGGCGGAGGCCUGAUGCAGCAACGCCGCGUGCGGGAUGACGGCCUUCGGGUUGUAAACCGCUUUCGCCUGUGACGAAGCGUGAGUGACGGUAAUGGGUAAAGAAGCACCGGCUAACUACGUG